rnacentral:rRNA from 1 species
UCCUACGGGAGGCAGCAGUGGGGAAUAUUGCAUAAUGGGCGGAAGCCUGAUGCAGCAACGCCGCGUGCGGGAUGACGGCCUUCGGGUUGUAAACCGCUUUCGCCUGUGACGAAGCGUGAGUGACCGGUAAUGGGUAAAGAAGCACCGGCUAACUACGUGCCAGCAGCCGCGGUGAUACGUAGGGUGCGAGCGUUGUCCGGAUUUAUUGGGCGUAAAGGGCUCGUAGGUGGUUGAUCGCGUCGGAAGUGUAAUCUUGGGGCUUAACCCUGAGCGUGCUUUCGAUACGGGUUGACUUGAGGAAGGUAGGGGAGAAUGGAAUUCCUGGUGGAGCGGUGGAAUGCGCAAAUAUCAGGAGGAACACCAGUGGCGAAGGCGGUUCUCUGGGCCUUUCCUGACGCUGAGGAGCGAAAGCGUGGGGAGCGAACAGGCUUAGAUACCCUGGUAGUCCACGCUGUAAACGGUGGGUACUAGGUGUGGGGUCCAUUCCACGGGUUCCGUGCCGUAGCUAACGCUUUAAGUACCCCGCCUGGGGAGUACGGCCGCAAGGCUAAAACUCAAAGGAAUUGACGG